AUCCAGCUGACCAGUCCCAAAUAGGACAAAACGUGCGUGCUGGAU
rnacentral:hammerhead_ribozyme from 1 species